rnacentral:rRNA from 1 species
UACGAAGGGGGCUAGCGUUGCUCGGAAUCACUGGGCGUAAAGGGUGCGUAGGCGGGUCUUUUAAGUCAGGGGUGAAAUCCUGGAGCUCAACCUUGGAACUGCCUUUGAUACUGGGGAUCUUGAGUCCGGGAGAGGUGAGUGGAACUGCGAGUGUAGAGGUGAAAUUCGUAGAUAUUCGCAAGAACACCAGUGGCGAAGGCGGCUCACUGGCCCGGU